GGGACGAAAACGUACUGAAUAUAUCAGACAAGUCAUUAAAUACCAGUUAAUUUUGUUUAAAUAAUAAUGCUCAGUGAUUUUAAACAUUUUAGCCAUUCUUGAUUACGCGCCGUAGCUUAUACAACUAUAAUAAGUCCGCAAUGCAUGAAAUUUCGUCAGUUUGAGUUUAAGGUGCUCUCCACAGUUUACCAGUAAAGAUCUCCGAUUUAGAC